rnacentral:rRNA from 1 species
UAGGGAAUCUUCGGCAAUGGACGGAAGUCUGACCGAGCAACGCCGCGUGAGUGAAGAAGGUUUUCGGAUCGUAAAGCUCUGUUGUUAGAGAAGAACGUUGGUAGGAGUGGAAAAUCUACCAAGUGACGGUAACUAACCAGAAAGGGACGGCUAACUACGUGCCAUCAGCCGCGGUAAUACGUAGGUCCCGAGCGUUGUCCGGAUUUAUUGGGCGUAAAGCGGGCGCAGGCGGUUCUUUAAGUCUGAAGUUAAAGGCAGUGGCUUAACCAUUGUACGCUUUGGAAACUGGAGGACUUGAGUGCAGAAGGGGAGAGUGGAAUUCCAUGUGUAGCGGUGAAAUGCGUAGAUAUAUGGGGGAACACCGGUGGCGAAAGCGGCUCUCUGGUCUGUAACUGACGCGGAGGCUCGAAAGCGUGGGGAGCAAACAGG